UUGAACGCUGGCGGCAGGCCUAACACAUGCAAGUCGAGCGGAUGAAGGGAGCUUGCUCCUGGAUUCAGCGGCGGACGGGUGAGUAAUGCCUAGGAAUCUGCCUGGUAGUGGGGGAUAACGUCCGGAAACGGGCGCUAAUACCGCAUACGUCCUGAGGGAGAAAGUGGGGGAUCUUCGGACCUCACGCUAUCAGAUGAGCCUAGGUCGGAUUAGCUAGUUGGUGGGGUAAGGGCCUACCAAGGCGACGAUCCGUAACUGGUCUGAGAGGAUGAUCAGUCACACUGGAACUGAGACACGGUCCAGACUCCUACGGGAGGCAGCAGUGGGGAAUAUUGGACAAUGGGCGAAAGCCUGAUCCAGCCAUGCCGCGUGUGUGAAGAAGGUCUUCGGAUUGUAAAGCACUUUAAGUUGGGAGGAAGGGCAGUAAGUUAAUACCUUGCUGUUUUGACGUUACCAACAGAAUAAGCACCGGCUAACUUCGUG
rnacentral:rRNA from 1 species